CAGAGAUUAAAUAAUUCUCUUUUCUGUAUGGAACUAAUUAGUAUAAGUAUCAGGAUGUAAUGUAAGCUAGGGCUUAGGAAUGGAAAUGAAUUAGCGUGUCUUCUUCCCCAAUUAUCCUCUUCUUCUCCACUCCUUUCUCUUCUCCUUCCCCAAAACCCUACUCUAAAUUCUUCUAAAACCCUAUUUUCUUCCUCCCAAUCUCUCUCCCUAUCUCUCUCUGUUUCUCUCCCUCUCCUUCUCUUUCACAAACUCACCUCCAAAUCGCCUCAAAUCAUCCGGUACAUAACAAUUGGUAUCAGAGCAGUUUUGAUCCCAGGGAGGGGAUGAAACUGAUACUUGCAUCAUGGUGGGAUGUCACAAGAAUGGAGCAGUAAUGGAUCUCGAGUAGCACCUGGAGCAAGAACUCAAGUGGUAGCAUCAGAUCUACAUUGGAAGGAUCACAGUAGUGAUUGGAGACAUUGCCACUACAAUAACAAGGUGGUAUCAGAUUGCAACUAGUAGAGAGGCGAUUUGAUUUUAUAAAGCUAUAACAUCAGGUAUUGUAGAAAUCUUUGCAUCCUUUUGAAUCAUUGAUUGCAUGUAUGCAAGAAUUGGUUAAUAAGGGAUCAAACCUGAUAAACAUCACAAGAAAUCUUUAUCACUGCUACUUGAAUCAAAUUGAUAGAGGGGUCAUAGAAGCAACAGGUUCUUGGUAGAGUAUCAUAGUUAAAAUUGGGCCAGUGAAGGGGAAUUUCAUCAAACACCUUGCAGGCACCAAGUAAUCAAGUUUUGUUCCCCAAUUUUAAUUCCAGAGUUGAGAUAUAAUUAGUUAAAUUGCUACAAAUGGAAAUAUAUUGAAGGAGUAGACAGCUGGUUAGUGUUCUCUUGAUUAGAACAGUCAUCAGAUCCCAAAGAGCAUCAUAGUCACCUCAAUAUUUCAUUGGAGCCAAUAGAAGAAAGCCAUUGGAAAUUCAGUCAAGUACCAUAGUGAAACACUUCAAGAAGAAGCAUAUGUGAAGUAAAAAUAGUUAAUGGAACAAAGUUGCAGCAACAAACCACUAGCUAUAAUCAAAGCUUUGAAGAAGCAUUACAAAGUGCUCGGGAUGUUAAUCAAAAGUUAGAUGCCUUAAUUGAAGCACUACAAAAGUUUAAGGAAGUGAAUUCUCGAAAUCCAAGGAUUGUACUUCAUCCAGGAUCGACUGACCGUCGAGAGAAUACCCUUUGUGAGAGUUAAGAAUGUCCAAAACACAAAAAGUGCUUUGGAGUUGAGUCCGCGAGAGCAAAUGGUGCAAACUGCAUUUUUGGGCUGAUGUUGCUCUCGGGGACCGGUCUCUGGAGGUGAGAGACCGGUUCCCUCGACUGGGUGUAGCGGGUUUGCUUGGUGCAACCGAUCCCUGGCAGGGAGGGACCGGUUCUCGAACGUGAUCCCAGCGAGAAAUGCCGAAAUUUCGCUAAGUCCUGAAAAUCGAGCUCUCGGGGACCGGUCUCUCAGGCGAGGACCGGUCUCUCGAGGACCGGUCUCCCGGGGAGAGACCGGUUCCCGAACGCGUGCGCCCGAAGGAAGCCCUCGGGGACCGGUCCCAAGUCGGGGAGACCGGCCCCUCCGCGCGAAAACUGCCCAGAAAGGGCUAUGCAAUGGCUGGAAAGUUGAGGGGUCUAAAUGCAAAAUGGCCUUUAUUAGAGUGGGCUGAGCCCUCUCUCUCCCUCACACUCAUCUCAUUUCACUCUCUCUCUCACUCUCUCUUUCUCUCUUGCUCCCUCUCUAGAAAAGAAAGGAGAAGAAGAAGAACAAGAAGGAGAGGAAGGAAAAGAAAGAGAAGGAAAGGAAGGAGAAGAAGAAGGAGAUCAAGGAGAAGGCUUUGGACACCUUCAUCACCCUCUCCUCUUCUCUUUGGUGUAGCACAAGAGGUAGGCUCUUGAGCCCUAGCUUCUAAACUUUGGAGUUUUGGAUUUUUAUGCUUUGGAAUGGGUCAAAUGAACCCUAAGCAUGCUUCUAAGUAGAUCAAUCCCAUGAAUCUAGGGAUUUAUUGGGUGGUUUGCUAUGGGUGCAAACCUAGGGCUCCAAAAUGGGGUUUUUGCGAAAGUAUGAGAUUGAUCUCAUUUGAAGCCUUGGAAACCCUAUUGUUAGGUCACAAAAUGUGGAGGCGCAGUCGAUUUUGGCAUUCGGCGACCCGGCGUGAAGUUCUCGGCAAAAUAGGGCCGGGUUAGCAUCGAUUCGGUCAAGGAAGGCUAAAGCCUUUUCGUAAAGCUCGCCGAGAAGGAUUUUCUAAGCCUCUACAUCGAUUAAUGGUGGGGGGUGCCAUCCUGAAGCUUUCGAACUCCUUUCUAUGUCUUAGAUUGCAUUUAAUCUCAUCUUUUCAUAUUGCAUUGUAGGAUUGCAUAGUAGCUCCAUUCCUUAUACUUUCUAAAUGAUAACCUAGUGUACUUGGAACGCUUGGUGACUUAGAUAGGUGAGGAUUGGGUCGGAACGUGGAUCCUAUGAUGCUAGAGAUAGAGAUGAACCCGAUAGGGGUGUUGAUGACAUAGAAAGCAGUGUUAUUGUCAAAGAAUAAACGAGUGGCAUCCAAAUGUUAAAUGAUAACGAGUGGCAUUAAUGUAGUGUAAUUAACACCAGAAGUCGAUUGACCUAGGGAUAGGCGGAUCCCUUAGAAAAUGCCUUGUGAACAAUGAAUUUAGAAAAGCUAAAUAGCAUUGCAUGAAUGUCGGGAACAAAUGAUCCCGCGAGAAAUAUUGACUCUAAUUGUAGAGCAUCCUCACUUGGAGAGGACUUGAUUGAGUUGUUGACCCUAGUUGUAGGGCAUCCUCACUUGGAGAUGAUAGAUCUAGCUCAUAGUCUGCGUUCGGGAUGGUAUAGCCAUUCAAUCCCCACAUGGAGGGGAUUAUCGUCGAGUACUCCGGAGUGUCGCGCGACUAGGACCACUUGGAGGUCCGGACCACAUGGAGGUCCGCAGACGGUCCCGGGCUUGGGUGCACUUGGAGCUCCCUCCCCACUUUGGGAUUGAAAGGUGAGUCAUAGGCGAGCCCUAGGGCCUCGCCACAGAUUGGGUAAAUGGAAAGAGUAAAGGUUUAAGAAUGUCAUUAAAUAUUGCUAUUCAAAUAUGGAUCGAAUUUGUUAGCAUGGUAGCAAACCUUUAUCAUAUGAUGCAUGCAUUCAUAUCCAUGAUUAUGGGCAUAGUAGCAUAAUUUUCCUACUAUUGCAUUUACAGUUUUCAGAUACAUAUCUAUCUAUCUAUCUAUCUGUUGUUACUUGUGCCCACUUGGACCUAGUGGGGAGAUCGGUAGAGUCGGCGGCCGAGCCCACUGGAAACUAUGGAAGAUAGUUCUCACUCCACUCUAUUUCCAGUGGUAGGUGCAGGGCUGCCGAGAGAGGACCGCGGCAAGGCCAUCGCUCCCGAUCAGUGAGACCGUGGUAAUAUAGUAGCUUUCCUUUUUGCAUUAGUACACCUAUGUAUUGAGAGAGAUUCAUUGUAGGUGAGGAUUUGGAGAGCUAUGUAUUUUGGAGAUGAAAAAUGUAUUCAUUUAAAGAAAAUGAUGUAAAUAAAAAUGUUGAAACUAUUGUAAUAGUUUAGUGAAGUACUCUCUUUAUUUCACAUGCUUUAUCUUGUGGAUCGCUUGCUCUUCGCGUUGUUGGCACCGUUUGUGCCCUUGUGAAUGUGUAUGUUUAGAAUUUAAUUUCCUGCGUAAAUUCUUGUACACAUUCCUAUUGUUGAGCCUGGGGCGGACAAGGGAGGUGCUGUCCGUUCGGCGGCCUGCCGCCGCGGCCGAACCGUGCCAAAUUGGUAGUGGUUUCGGGGCGGGGCGUGACCGCCUUUGUGGUAUCAGAGCCUAAGAGCAAGUAAAGAGAAAGUCUAGGAUAAUCUAGGAGACCCUAGGUCGGUAAGCCCUAAGGUUAUAGGUGCAUGAGCGGAACGUGAACUUAUAGCGAUGGCGGAAGUUGAUUCUAUUGGGUCGAAGUUGGUAAUAUGUCUCUAGUUGUGGUUAGAGACGGAUUCAAGUGGUAUAAGUUCUUGUCUUGAGAUGGUUGUGUCGGCGGCCGACGACAUGAUACUAAGAGCCUAGAACGAGUGCACUUGUGUGCUUCCGCCUGAUUUUGUUGUUGAGUCGUCAUGUGUCGUAAUUGCGACGAGAUAAUUGGUUAAGAUGACUGACCAAGUAAUUGCGUUUCAGGGACUAAUGUCUCCAAGACGCUACACACGUAGAACUGCCCCAGCACCGACUCCUGAGGUGCCCGAGCAGGAGGAACCGAGCGUGAUCGAUUGGUUGCAAGCACAGGUGACCGCGUUGACCAAUGUGGUGCAGCGCCAGGAGACCAGAUUCGAGCGGCUCCAGGAUCUAUUGGAGCGGCAGAUCGCGGCGACGGCUGCGACGGUAAAUGAAGGCAGUGGCCCGCCCAAACCCUCGACUCAUAUACCUGGAGCGGCAGAGGGUGAGGGCAUAGCGGCGGUUCCGAUGACGGCACGCCCACCGCGAACGAUCGUACCACAGGCGGCAUCGGGGUCGGCUACACCCGAUGUGUCGGUCGAAGACGUGGAGGGAGAGAGCGCAUUGGCGGCUCUUAUCAAGUUCAACAAGUUCCAUCCGCCAACUUUCGAGGGCGAGAAGGUGGAACCGGAGAUGGUCGAGUCUUGGAUCGACUCGAUGGAAACCCUCUUCGAUGACUUGCGUACCUUGGAGAGGGACAAGGUGUACCUCGCCACCCAUUGCUUGGAAAAGGCGGCGAAGGUUUGGUGAAGCGAGUCAAACGGGAUCGGCUUCCCGGCCUUCCACCAAUGUUGUGGGAGGAAUUCAAGCGGGAGAUGUUCGCCAACUAUUUUCCCGAUACAUUGAAGCGGAAGCUCAAGGAGAAGUUCCGCAAGCUCGAGCAAGGGGACCGCCCAGUGGCGGAGUAUGAACAAGAAUUCUCCCAUAUUAUCGAUUUCGUCCUGGAUGUUGUAAAGGAUGACCGGGACCGGGCCGAGUGGUUCUUGCGAGGGCUUCGGCCGGGAAUCUAUAAGGCCGUGCAAAUAUUCAAGCUCACGACUUUUGCGGAGGUCUUCGAUCGAGCCCUAUGGGUGGAGCACGGAGAUGCCCACGUUCGGGAGAAGCGUGAGGCUUUGGCCGAGUCUAAGGACAAGGGCAAGAAACGCCAAGGCGGCGGUAGUUCGGGGGGGACAAGCACGUUACAAGAAACCCCUGAAGUAUCCGCGCGCUCAACAAAAGGGCGGUGGAGCGCGGUGAUGCAUUGUGUGCGGCGGAGACCACCCAGUCUCGCGCUGUGAGCAAGGUCGAGGCAAGUACUACAAAUGUGGGCAACCGGGGCACUUCAUUUGAGACUGCCCGGGAGGAGGAGCCUCACCUACCCCAUAGAUUGCAUCGGCGUCGGCGAUCCCGGCUCACUAUGGAGGAGCUCCAACGACGGCCGCGUCGACUGGACGCGCGAUGAUGCCGCGUCAACCUGAAGUGAUGCGAUCGGCCCCGAGCAGACGGGUGUUCGCCGCUCAGGUCCAAACUGAGGAACCUGCGGAGGCGGAGGAGCAUCGCCUUGUGGCAGGUAUGGUUUUAAUUAACGGAGUUCGCUCCAGGGCUUUAUUUGAUACAGGAGCCACGCAUCCAUUCAUAAGUAGAUCAUUCGCACGCAUGCAUGACAUUCUCAUAGAGGCGAGUGACAAGUGGCGAGUGGAGGGCCCUGAGUCGACGUUUAACACUUACUCGGAGUGUGCGUCAUGUCCCGUGCAAAUAGGCGACUGGAUUAUGCCUAUCCGGACACUGGAACUCCAGAAGCUUGAGGCUUUUGAUAUCAUUCUGGGCAUGGACUGGCUCUCGAAGUAUCAUGCGACGAUCGACUGUAAGAGCAGGGUGAUCACUUUUCGUGAACCAGGACAGGAGGAGUUCACAUAUCGGGCUUGUCAGAGCUCGUGCUUUGUCGCGACGGUGUCGGCGACGAGAGCAAGAAAGUUAGUUAACAGCGGUUGCACGGCAUUCUUAGUGACUGUUGUGGAAGUGGAACGAGUAGCUCCAACGUUAGGGGAGCUAUCGGUGGUGCGGGAGUUCCCGGAUGUGCUUCUUGCGGAGUUGCCGGGGAUACCACCGGAUCGGGAGAUCGAGUUUGUCAUAGACUUGGUUCCCGGUACCGCGCCGAUCUCGAAGGCCCCGUACCGAAUAGCGCCGGCGGAAUUGAAAGAGUUGAGGAGUCAACUGCAAGACCUCCUCGACAAGCAAUUUAUCCGGCCAAGUGUAUCACCGUGGGGAGCCCCGGUGUUGUUUGUACGGAAGAAGGACGGAUCGUUUCGACUCUGCGUGGACUAUCGAGAAUUGAACAGAGUCACGAUCAAGAACAAGUACCCAUUACCCCGGAUCGAUGACUUGUUCGAUCAGUUGCAAGGGUCAUGCGUGUACUCGAAGAUAGAUUUGCAAUCCGGCUACCACCAACUGAAGAUCAAGCCGGAGGAUGUGCAGAAAACUGCGUUUUGUACGCGGUAUGGACACUAUGAAUUCACGGUUAUGCCAUUUAGACUCAUGAAUGCUCCAGCGGUGUUCAUGGAUUUAAUGAACUGUGUCUUCAAGAAGUAUUUGGAUCGAUUUGUCGUGGUCUUCAUAGACGACAUAUUGGUCUAUUCUCGUAGCAACGAAGAACAUGUCGAGCAUUUGAGGAUAGUUCUUCAAGUCCUUCGGGAGGAGAAGCUAUAUGCUAAGCUGAAGAAGUGUGACUUCUGGCUUUGCGAGGUCGCCUUCUUAGGGCAUGUGAUUUUCGCGGGUGGAGUUUCUGUAGACCCGAGGAAAGUGGAGGCAAUCAAGGAUUGGCCGCGCCCGACAAAUGUCAUGGAGGUUCGAAGCUUCGUGGGCUUGGCGGGCUAUUAUAGGCGGUUCGUGGAAGGUUUUUCCAAAAUAGUGAUUCCACUUACCCGCCUUACUCAGAAAGGCACCAAGUUCGUUUAGAGCGAAGAAUGUGACCAGAGUUUCAAAGAGUUGAAGCAAAGACUGACUUCGACUCCGGUGCUCGCUCUACCGGUGCAGGGCGAAGACUUCUUGGUCUACGGUGAUGCCUCCUAUCUUGGGUUGGGGUGUGUAUUGAUGCAAAACGGGAAGGUGAUCGCUUAUGCAUCCCGUCAACUGAAGAGCUAUGAGAGGAACUACCCCAUCCAUGAUUUGGAGCUAGCGGUGGUGAUUUUCGCCUUGAAGCUGUGGAGGCACUACUUAUAGGGUGCCCAUUGUGAGAUUUAUACCGACCACAAGAGCUUGAAGUACCUGUUUACACAGACGGAGCUCAACAUGCGUCAGCGGCGGUGGUUGGAGCUGUUAAAAGACUAUGAUGUUGAUAUCCUCUACCACCCCGGGAAGGCAAAUGUGGUCGCGGACGCACUUAGUAGGAAGUCGGCGAAGAACCUCGCUUUUGAUAUUACCCAGCAAACACCCCUGUGGCUGGAUAUGGAGCGAUUGGACCUUAAAGUGGUCACUCCCGAGGUCCCGACUCAGUUGAUGGCACUCGUUGUCCAACCGACCUUGUUGGAGAGGAUCAAAGAUCUGCAACCCGCAGACCCAGAACUCCAAAAGGUGCGGCGAAAUAUCGAGGAAGGGCAUGGCGGCGAUUUCAGGGUAGACGCCGAUGGUACGCUUCGGUUUCGAAACCGAUGGUGUGUGCCGAAAAAUGGAGAGCUUCGUGAAUUGAUUCUGCAAAAAGCACACCGAUCUCCAUAUGCCGAUCACCCAGGCGGCACCAAGAUGUAUCGUGGAUUAAAAAUGCACUAUUGGUGGCCGGGAAUGAAGAGUGACAUUGGACGCUUUGUGGCAAAGUGCCUGACAUGCCAACAAGUGAAGGCCGAGCGUCGAUUUCCAGCGGGAAAGCUUCAAAGCCUACCAAUCCCCGUUUGGAAAUGGGAGGAUAUAUCAAUGGACUUCGUGGUCGGCUUGCCUCGCUCAACGGGCGGCCAUGAUGCAAUUUGGGUAAUUGUGGACCGAUUGACAAAGUCGGCUCACUUCUUACCGAUCCACACCACGUGAUCGGGUGACAAGUUAGCGCAGGUAUAUCUUGACCAGAUAGUGAGACUGCAUCGGGUGCCAAAAUCGAUCGUGUCGGAUCAUGACCCCCGGUUCACUUCACACUUCUGGAAAAGCCUGCAGGAAGCCCUUGGCACACGGCUCGACUUCAGCACUGCAUUUCAUCCUCAGAUCGAUGGGCAAACAGAAAGAACUAUUCAAACACUGGAGGACAUGUUGCGAGCGUUUGUCAUCGACUAUAAGGGAAGUUGGUGUGACCACUUACCUAUGGCCGAGUUCGCCUACAACAACAGUUAUCAUGCUAGUAUGGAGAUGGCACCGUUCGAGGCUCUUUAUAGGCGGUCGCGUCGAUCUCCUAUACACUGGAGCGAUGUAGGUGAGCGUGCUGAGUUCAGCCCAGAUGUGUUGCGAGAAGCGAAAGAGAAAGUCCGCCUUGCUCGCAAGAGAUUGCUCACGGCGUAGUCGAGACAACAGAGUUAUGCAGAUAGACGCCGUCGAGAUAUAGAAUUCGCGGUAGGCGACCGCGUAUUCCUGAAAGUCUCACCGAUGCGGGGUGUGAAGCGGUUUGGAGUGCGGGGAAAACUAAGUCCCCGAUACAUUGGGCCAUCUGAGAUAUUGGAGCGAGUUGGCAUGGUGGCCUACCGACUUGCUUUGCCGCCGAAACUUGCGGAUGUACACAAUGUGUUCCAUGUCUCCAAUCUCCGCAAGUAUAUUCACGACCCCGAGCAUGUGAUGCUAUAUGAACCGCGGGAACUUCAAGGAGACUUGAGCUAUGAAGAGUUUCCGGUAGGGAUUAUCGCCCGAGAGGUGCGAAAGUUGAGGCAUCGAGAAAUUCCCUAUGUGAAGGACAGGUGGAGCAAUCACGAGGAUCGCGAAGCCACCUGGGAACUCGAGGAUCUGAUGAGAAAACACCAUCCUCAUCUAUUUGAGGAGUAAGGUAUGGGUUUAAGUCAAGAAUUGAGUUAGUUUGGAGGACGAAACUUCUUUUAAGGAGGGGAGGAUGUAAGGAAGUGAAUUCUCGAAAUGCGAGGAUUGUACUUCAUCCAGAAUCGACUGACCGUCGAGAGAAUACCCUUUGUGGGAGUUAAGAAUGUCCAAAACACAAAAAGUGCUUUGGAGUUGAGUCCGUGAGAGCAAAUGGUGCAAACUGUAUUUUUGGGCUGAUGUUGCUCUCGGGGACCGGUCUCUGGAGGUGAGAGACUGGUUCCCUCGGCUGGGUGUAGCGGGGUUGUUUGGUGCAACCGGUCCCUGGCAGGGAGGGACCGGUACCCGAACGUGGUCCCAGCAAGAAAUGCCGAAAUUUGGCUAAGUCCUGAAAAUCGAGCUCUAAGGGACCGGUCUCUCAUGCGAGGACUGGUCUCCCGAGGACCGGUCUCCCGGGGAGAGACCGGUUCCCGAACGCGUGCGCCCGAGGGAAGCCCUCGGGGAUCGGUCCCAAGUCGGGGAGACCGGUCCCUCCGUGCGAAAACUGCCCAGUAAGGGCUGUGCAAUGGAUGGAAAGCUGAGGGGUCUAAAUGCAAAAUGGCCUUUAUUAGAGUGGGCUGAGCUCUCUCUCUCCCUCACACUCAUCUCAUUUCACUCUCUCUCUCACUCUCUCUUUCUCUCUUGCUCCCUCUCUAGAAAAGAAAGGAGAAGAAGAAGAACAAGAAGGAGAGGAAGGAAAAGAAGGAGAAGGAAAGGAAGGAGAAGAAGAAGAAGGAGAUCAAGAAGACGGCUUUGGACACCUUCAUCAACCUCUCCUCUUCUCUUUGGUGUAGCACAAGAGGUAGGCUCUUGAGCCCUAGCUUCUAAACUUUGGAGUUUUGGGUUUUCAUGCUUUGGAAUGGGUCAAAUGAACCCUAAGCAUGCUUCUAAGUAGAUCAAUCCCAUGAAUCUAGGGAUUUAUUCGGUGGUUUGCUAUGGGUACAAACCUAGGGCUCCGAAAUGGGGUUUUUGCGAAAGUAUGAGAUUGAUCUCAUUUGAAGCCUUGGAAACCCUAUUGUUAGGUCACAAAACGUGGGGGCGAAGUCGAUUUUGGCAUUCGGCGACCCGGCGUGAAGUUCUCGGCAAAAUAGGGCCGGGUUAGCAUCGAUUCGGUCAAGGAAGGCUAAAGCCUUUUCGUAAAGCUCGCCGAGAAGGAUUUUCUAAGCCUCUACAGCGAUAAAAGGUGGGAGGUGCCAUCCCGAAGCUUUCGAACUCCUUUCUAUGUCUUAGAUUGCAUUUAAUCUCAUCUAUUUAUAUUGCAUUGUAGGAUUGCAUAGUAGCUCCAUUCCUUAUGCUUUCUAAAUGAUAACCUAGUGUACUUGGAACGCUUGGUGACUUAGAUAGGUGAGGAUUGGGUCGGAACGUGGAUCCUAUGAUGCUAGAGAUAGAGAUGAACCCGAUGGGGGUGUUGAUGACAUAGAAAGCAGUGUUAUUGUCAAAGAAUAAACGAGUGGCAUCCAAAUGUUAAAUGAUAACGAGUGGCAUUAAUGUAGUGUAAUUAACACCAGAAGUCGAUGGACCUAGGGAUAGGCGGAUCCCUUAGAAAAUGCCUUGUGAACAAUAAAUUUAGAAAAGCUAAAUAGCAUUGCAUGAAUGUCGCGAGAAAUGUUGACUCUAGUUGUAGAGCAUCCUCACUUGGAGAGGACUUGAUUGAGUUGUUGACCCUAGUUGUAGAACAUCCUCACUUGGAGAGGAUAGAUCUAGCUCACAGUCUGCGUUCGGGAUGGUAUAGCCAUCCAAUUCCCACAUGGAGGGGAUUGUCGUCGAGUACUCCAGAGUGUCGCGCGACUAGGACCACUUGGAGGUCCGGACCACAUGGAGGUCCGCAGACGGUCCCGGGCUUGGGUGCACUUGGAGCUCCUUCCCCACUUUGGGAUUGAAAGGUGAGUCAUAGGCGAGCCCUAGGGCCUCGCCACAGAUUGGGUAAAUGGAAAGAGUUAAGGUUUAAGAAUGUCAUUGAAUAUUGCUAUUCGAACAUGGAUCGAAUUUGUUAGCAUGGUAGCAAACCUUUAUCAUAUGAUGCAUGCAUUCAUAUCCAUGAUUAUGGGCAUAGUAGCAUAGUUUUCCUACUAUUGCAUUUAUAGUUUUCAGAUACAUAUCUAUCUAUCUAUCUAUCUAUUUGUUGUUACUUGUGCCCACUUGGACCUAGUGGGGAGAUCGGUAGAGUCGGCGGCCGAGCCCACUGGAAACUAUGGAAGAUAGUUCUCACUCCACUCUAUUUCCAGUGGUAGGUGCAGGGCUGCUGAGAGAGGACCGCGGCAAGGGCAUCGCGCCCGAUCAGUGAGACCGUGGUAGUAUAGUAGCUUUCCUUUUUGCAUUAGCACACCUAUGUAUUGAGAGAGAUUCAUUGUAGGUGAGGAUUUGGAGAGCUAUGUAUUUUGGAGAUGAAAAAUGUAUUCAUUUAAAGAAAAUGAUGUAAAUGAAAAUGUUGAAACUAUUGUAAUAGUUUAGUAAAGUACUCUCUUUAUUUCACAUGCUUUAUCUUGUGGAUCGCUUGCUCUUCGCGUUGUUGGCACCGUUUGUGCCCUUGUGAAUGUGUAUGUUUAGAAUUUAAUUUCCUGAGUAAAUUCUUGUACACAUUCCUGUUGUUGAGCCUUGGGCGGACAGGGGAGGUGCUGUCCGUUCGGCGGCCCGUCGCCGCGGCCGAACUGUGCCAAAUUAGUAGUGGUUUCGGGACGGGGCGUGACAAAAAGGAAGAGGCAAGGAGGCACGAAAUCAUGAUGCAGGAGAAUGCCCGCAAACAUGAACAACUCCUAGAGUUGAUUAGGAGCCGAUUUGUGCAUGAUAGAGAAAAAGAGAUAGCAGUGCAGGUUCCAAAAGAAGAGAAAGAGCUAAUACCCAUAACCAUUUCUCUAGAGAAAAGAGUUAGUUCACUAACUAAUUCCGUAAUCGACCAACCAGCUGCCGUGAAGGAAGUAGAGCAAAAGCACCUUGAAAUUCUACAGAUGGAGGACAGUAAUGGGCAUGAUGUAAAGCUGAGUGAUAGUACUAGCAAACCGGAGGGAUUGCUAAGGUUGCAUGCAACUCAACCAUAUCCGACCAAGCCAAUUCCAAUUGUCGAAACAUGCAACAUAGAGCAUUCAAGUUUAGAGAGAAGCAAACUUAGAGAUAACAUUGUUCCAUCACCUAUCAGAGCAAACAUGGGUGAAGGAACUCCACUAGGAACUCACAAGCUGCAAGAAAUGGAAGAAGAAGCAUUCCCACAAUGGCCUGAUAACAACCCACUACCUCAACAACCCUGGUUGGAUCGAAUUCAUCAUCAGCAUCAACAGCAUAAGCUCUGGAAGCGAUCUAUUCGGCGUGGAACCUAUCAUCAUUGUCGCCAUCCAGUUCUCAGAUCGAAGUCAUCAUUGAAGGUUGCGACUCAGCUCGGAACCAAAUCAGGCCUAGAUCGACCCUUGGUAGCACCUCAAUCAUCAUCACAGCCAACCAAAUCUCCGAAAUUACAAUGGGCGAUGGAUGCUACUCAGAUUGGGCCAUUACAAAUUGAAUGCUAUCACAAUCGGAUUGUUAUGAAGAUUGGGCUGUUACAAACUGGAAAGGCAAAAACAGAAAAACAAGAGAUCGUUAACUACAAGGACAAACCCCCUUGGAAGAAGUUUGUUGCAGAUAAGUGGAAGGGGAUUGACAUCAAGUGCCUAACUGAUGACAUUGAUGCAUUCUGCAGGCAAAUACACAACAAGACAGUGGAAAACUAUCAAGCCAGAUCGGAGAACUUAAGAGUUCAAAAGCCAAUCCAAAAUUCUAAUCUGGUAGAGGCUUGCCAGGUGUGGGGCUUUGUCAAUGAAUACAAGGAGCUAGGGACUGUGCUUAAGAGGCCUCACCCAUGCUCGCGAUUUCUGACCUAUGAACAAGAUAAGCUACAGGAAUCUGAUAGAAAUUUGGGUGUUACCUUGCACAUAAAAGGGGAAUGCAAAGCGCUUACCAUGAUUAUAUGCAAAUGGAUGCAAGCUGUGCAAAAUCGAAGUGAAGAAGACCAUCUGUUAACUGAAUUUCAUACUUCCAGGGCGUGGCAAGUUGAUAAGGGAAUUGAACAGUUCACUCGAUGGUCAGGAAUCGAAAGGGAUGUGCAUCAGUUAGUGCCAGAAUAUGAAGUUUGCUUAAGAGCUAAGGGAGAAAAUAGGCCCACACAUUGUUACAAGAAGCUGAAACCUGAAGAGUGGUGGUCCUACACCAGAUGCCGCUUCUCAACAGGAGAGAGAAUUUUACAAGGUAAAUAUACCUAUUACCCUCCAACUAAUGCCUUGAUUACUAUUGGAAAUAUUAUGGACUCAAAUUUGAGUUGGUUCAAGCGAAUGGGACAAGUACUAUACAUUUUUAAAGGGCAAUCAAAUAGAGCAUAGCAGAGAACACAUAUCAUGCUGAUAGGAAAAGGAGUAAAAGUCUCUCUAGGAGAAGACAUGUACACUGGGAGUCAAUAUUCCACGAGCAACAUGGCGGAGCUGACAGAAGGAGUCCAAAACUCUAGUUGCAUUUCUCUGAACCAACCCAGUUUUUUGACUAGGGGAGAUCCGGCAGCGCGCAGGUUGCGACAUCCUGAAGGGCCCAAGGGUGAGCCCCUGCCCCAACAGGGCCGCCAUCCAUGCUGCCAGCCGGAGGAGGUUUCCAAAGGUGGCUUAAAAGAAGCAACUUUGAAGAAGAAGAAUGUGCCGCAGGGGAAGCAAAUGGGAUCCCCCAAACCAGUCAACAAGUUCCAUCCUUGAGGACAAGGAUGAACUUAAGGGGAAGGGAUUGUAAUGACCCUGAAGAAUAAAUGGUAAAAGUAGUAGUAGUAGUAGCAGUUAGCAUGGGAGAGUAGUAAAAAUGUCAACUUUACAAAGUAGAGCAGAGAAGUGAUAGCAGGAGGUUGGUGAGCAGUGAGCUCGGCGGAGCGAUCCGGCGGGAAGGCGCUCGAGCGGAACUCCGGCAGGAAGGCGCCUUCGAAGGGGCUAAGGCGAGCUCGACAGUUCUAGGGCAUAGUCGGUGAUGAAGGGAAAAUGGGAGGAUCGAGGUCGGAGGAGGAAGCCCGACAGAACCGGGGUGUUUGGGGCGAAGAAGAGAGCUAGCGGAUCGGGCGGUCAAAUCAUCGGAGCGGGCGUAAAACGCGGACCCGAUAUCCGCCGGGUCGUGGAUGAUGCGGAGAAGGCCGGAACCGACGCCCACUUACCGUUAAGCAUGGAUCGGGCAAAGCGGGCUCGGAUCGGGGCGAAAUGGCGAACCCAAGACCCGCUGGGUUGCGGGUAGUGUGGAGAAGGACGGACCCGAGUCCGAAUACCCGACAAGCAGCAGAGGAGCUCAGGAAGCCCAGGAAGAGGGCCCAACUACCACCGAAUUGGCGGCCCAACCAACCCACUUCUUAUUUUGUCACUUUUGCUGUUUAGUCCUCAGAGAUUAAAUAAUUCUCUUUUCUAUACGGAACUAAUUAGUAUAAGUAUCAGGAUGUAAUGUAAGCUAGGGCUUAGGAAUGGAAAUGAAUUAGCGUGUCUUCUUCCCCAAUUAUCCUCUUCUUCUCCACUCCUUUCUCUUAUCCUUCCCCAAAACCCUACUCUAAAUUCUUCUAAAACCCUAUUUUCUUCCUCCCAAUCUCUCUCCCUAUCUCUCUCUAUUUCUCUACCUCUCCUUCUCUUUCACAAACUCACCUCCAAAUCACCUCAAAUUAUCCGGUACAUAACAAUAGUCUCCAAACCUCACUGAAAACUAUUCGAAUAGUCUUCUAAGCUAUUUUUCAUUGAAACUCCACAAAUU
rnacentral:lncRNA from 1 species